GCGCGGGUAGCUCAGUUGGAUAGAGCACCAGACUACGAAUCUGGGGGUCGUGGGUUCGAAUCCUUCCCCGCGCGCCA
rnacentral:tRNA from 3 species